GCUAUACAUGCAAGUCGAACGCAUUGUGGUUGAAAUGAUAUGAAGAACUUGUUCAGAUUUGAUUUUCAACAUUGCAAUGAGUGGCGAACGGGUGAGUAACACGUGGGAAACCUACCUCUUAGCAGGGGAUAACAUUUGGAAACAAAUGCUAAUACCGUAUAAUAAUUAAAACCGCAUGGUUUUAGUUUAAAAGAUGGUCUUGCUAUCACUAAGAGAUGGUCCCGCGGUGUAUUAGUUAGUUGGUGAGGUAAUGGCUCACCAAGACAAUGAUACAUAGCCGAGUUGAGAGACUGACCGGCCACAAUGGGACUGAGACACGGCCCAUACUCCUACGGGAGGCAGCAGUAGGGAAUCUUCCACAAUGGACGAAAGUCUGAUGGAGCAACGCCGCGUGUGUGAUGAAGGGUUUCGGCUCGUAAAACACUGUUGUAAGAGAAGAAUGACAUUGAGAGUAACUGUUCAAUGUGUGACGGUAUCUUACCAGAAAGGAACGGCUGAAUACGUGCCAGCAGCCGCGGUAAUACGUAUGUUCCAAGCGUUAUCCGGAUUUAUUGGGCGUAAAGCGAGCGCAGACGGUUAUUUAAGUCUGAAGUGAAAGCCCUCGGCUCAACCGAGGAAUUGCUUUGGAAACUGGAUAACUUGAGUGCAGUAGAGGAAAGUGGAACUCCAUGUGUAGCGGUGAAAUGCGUAGAUAUAUGGAAGAACACCAGUGGCGAA
rnacentral:rRNA from 1 species